GACGAACGCUGGCGGCGUGCUUAACACAUGCAAGUCGAACGGAAAGGCCCUGCUUUUGUGGGGUGCUCGAGUGGCGAACGGGUGAGUAACACGUGAGUAACCUGCCCUUGACUUUGGGAUAACUUCAGGAAACUGGGGCUAAUACCGGAUAGGAGCUCCUGCUGCAUGGUGGGGGUUGGAAAGUUUCGGCGGUUGGGGAUGGACUCGCGGCUUAUCAGCUUGUUGGUGGGGUAGUGGCUUACCAAGGCUUUGACGGGUAGCCGGCCUGAGAGGGUGACCGGCCACAUUGGGACUGAGAUACGGCCCAGACUCCUACGGGAGGCAGCAGUGGGGAAUAUUGCACAAUGGGCGGAAGCCUGAUGCAGCAACGCCGCGUGCGGGAUGACGGCCUUCGGGUUGUAAACCGCUUUCGCCUGUGACGAAGCGUGAGUGACGGUAAUGGGUAAAGAAGCACCGGCUAACUACGUGCCAGCAGCCGCGGUGAUACGUAGGGUGCGAGCGUUGUCCGGAUUUAUUGGGCGUAAAGGGCUCGUAGGUGGUUGAUCGCGUCGGAAGUGUAAUCUUGGGGCUUAACCCUGAGCGUGCUUUCGAUACGGGUUGACUUGAGGAAGGUAGGGGAGAAUGGAAUUCCUGGUGGAGCGGUGGAAUGCGCAGAUAUCAGGAGGAACACCAGUGGCGAAGGCGGUUCUCUGGGCCUUUCCUGACGCUGAGGAGCGAAAGCGUGGGGAGCGAACAGGCUUAGAUACCCUGGUAGUCCACGCUGUAAACGGUGGGUACUAGGUGUGGGGUCCAUUCCACGGGUUCCGUGCCGUAGCUAACGCUUUAAGUACCCCGCCUGGGGAGUACGGCCGCAAGGCUAAAACUCAAAGGAAUUGACGGGGCCCCGCACAAGCGGCGGAGCAUGCGGAUUAAUUCGAUGCAACGCGUAGAACCUUACCUGGGUUUGACAUGGAUCGGGAGUGCUCAGAGAUGGGUGUGCCUCUUUUGGGGUCGGUUCACAGGUGGUGCAUGGCUGUCGUCAGCUCGUGUCGUGAGAUGUUGGGUUAAGUCCCGCAACGAGCGCAACCCUUGUUCACUGUUGCCAGCACGUUAUGGUGGGGACUCAGUGGAGACCGCCGGGGUCAACUCGGAGGAAGGUGGGGAUGACGUCAAGUCAUCAUGCCCCUUAUGUCCAGGGCUUCACGCAUGCUACAAUGGCUGGUACAGAGAGUGGCGAGCCUGUGAGGGUGAGCGAAUCUCGGAAAGCCGGUCUCAGUUCGGAUUGGGGUCUGCAACACGACCUCAUGAAGUCGGAGUCGCUAGUAAUCGCAGAUCAGCAACGCUGCGGUGAAUACGUUCCCGGG
rnacentral:rRNA from 1 species